CUAAUUCCUAACCCCAUGCUGGUGGCUGGCCUCACCUCUUCUCGUCUCUUCCUCUACACCGCCCGCCACAAAAAAAAGGCCAUGGCCAUGGCCGCCGCCUCCCGUCUCCCUCCUGCCGCCGCUCGCCGGAACACCUUAGUACGCUCUCCGUUCUCCACUCCCCCCUCCGUGCUACGACCACUAAGGACGAGGCCUCAUCGUAUCAAUUCCAUCCCCCAAAAGUCACGCCUCGUCGUCGCCUCCGCGCAGUCCAACUUCUCCAGAGUUAUUCAAACAGCAUGGAAGGUUGGUAAGGAUGCUGUGGAGGCAGGAACUAAUCUUGUCCCAGGUUCAGUUCCAAGGCCAGUUGCUAGGAUAGGUGUUGCCUUUGCUGCUGUGUCAGUCUCCCUUUUUCUUCUCAAAUCCAUUGUGUCCACUGCAUUCUUUGUGCUGGUGAUGGGUCUUGUGGUCACAGGCGAUGAUGGGGCUUAUAUAUCUUGCCUUCCUGGCUAUGAACCCAGAGGAGGCCUCUGGCUCUAGGGUGGAUGAAGCAGGGGACAACGCAUCCGAAGACCCUGUCGAAGAGGCCCGGCGCAUAAUGGAGAAAUACAAGUAAAGAACCUGGGGGAGUCUGUCUGACAACAGGUGUACUCUGCAGAGGCUUGUCCCUAUCAAAAAAAAAAAAAAAGUCAGGCUUGUUUACAUGGAUGCUGCUGCUUUUACAAUUGCCUGCCUAAGAGCUUAUCGACGGCGGGCGGAAAGCUCUGCCUCAGCGUCCUUGAUGAGUUGUCGCCGUUGUAGUUGCGGUGGUGGUCGGCCUCCAGCUCCAGCAUGGCCAGGAACUCGUCCUCCACCUCCAGCUCCUCUGCCAAGGCCAUGGGGCAGCAGCUCUUUGGCUUGCCGUCCCCUUGCCCCUCGUCGUCGGUGGUGAGCAGAUUGUCCGACGGCGGGUGCCGCCUGGAGAUGGUGCCUUUCUCGAUGGUGAUGAAGCCGGAGGACUCGUCGUCAUUGUCUUCCUCGUUGGGGGCUGCUGGCCGCAGGCAGUUGAGCAGCAGGUCUGGUAGCGCGACAAGUGGCAGGCAGGCAGAGCGGCGGCGGUGAGGACCCCUGAUGAUCCUGUGGUGCAGAGUGAGAGAGAGGAUGGCACCGGCUGCAGCGCCGCCGAGCACCAAGUUGAGGAUGCUGGGGGAGGGACGAUGUAGCUGCUCCGCGAGGUCGACGCGGACGGCCCCCGUUGUGAGGUGCUGCUGCUGCUGGCUGUGGUGAGCGUCGUCGCUGACGCUGGCUGUGGUGUAGUGGCCGUGAUCAUGAGUAGGAGAGGAGACGGUGACUGCGACAGCGACAGCGACGACGGAGGUGAUGCUGUUGACGGGUGCGCAGUGCAGGAGGAGGACCUGGUCCUGGAAGGCCGCCACGCCCCCUCUGCACCUUGCUGCUGCUGCUGCUGCUUCUUCCCCAACAACCUGUUGUUGCUGAUGCGGCUGUUGGUGUUGGAGCAGGUGCAGCAGAAUCUGGCGGCCCUCCGCAGAGGCGGGCAGGCCGGCGACGUGCUGCGCCUGGAGGCACACCGCCACCACCUUCUCCGGCUGCGUCCUUGUCAUGAUCGAUGAUGAUUAGCCAGCUAUCGCUAGCUACCUCUUAAGCUCUACUCCUGUAUGAGUAGAGUAGUACAGCUGCUGCCGUGGUGUGUGCAGUGCAUCCGGCCGGAACGGAAUGGAUCCUGGGAUUUGGGCGGCGCACUGCUAAGCUCUUUCCUUGGCUGCA